AUCAAACUCGAGCGCAUCUUUAUAUAAUGUGUGAAAGAUUAGUUAAUAUCAAUAUCUUUUACCGAGACGCAGUUACUGUCUUAACUUCUAAAUUUGGAUUUUGACAAUGUUAUCGUCAGCAGUGUUUGCCGCUUUCUUUACUAUUUUAAUCAGUGUUGAAACAUCUUAUGCGAUUCUAUGCUCAUCCGAGCGGCCACCGUGUCCGGAUGGAUUUUUCUGCAUGAAUAUAUCGUGCGAAAAUAUUGAUAUUGGGAGAUGCACAGACAUUGACGAGUGUAAA